UUGUAGACAGGAUCAAACAUGAAGCACUUCAAGAAUUUUGGUUUGGGUUUCCACUGUUCUUUGGUAUUUGAAGAGCAAUUAAUCCAUUUUUCUACCUGCAUUUGAAGGUGUAUCUUUUGUGGAUAUGUGGAUAUGCUUGUAAAUCUGUUUUCUGGAUUGUUUGGAAGGUGGUCCUAAGUAUGUCCAAGGAAGGAAAGCAUUACAUUGAGCAGAGAUGAAUACAAAUACAAAUGUCGCAUUGACUGCUUAGAAGCCAUACUAUCUGACAGCAUUUGGGUGAGGUUUUCCAUAUGUCUACAUAGUAGAAACUGCAGAUUUAAAAAUUGAAUUUUAGUGAAAGUUGAAAGAAUUUUCUGCAGUAUUUUAAAGGAUUUUGAGGACACACUGUUGGGAUCUAAUCUGUACAUUCUCAGAAUGAGAAUAUACUUAACUCUGGCUACAGCAAAGCAUCUAUGAAAACGCUCUCUUGCUAAUACAGAUCUUCUAGUUCUUUGACACACUUGCACCAAUUUUAAACACGUCCAAGUAACUAGGUAAAUACAGACUCUAUUUGGCCAGACCCAGCUUUGUCUGCUACUGAGAUUCUGCUGCCAGCUACAGCCAGGUGGUAAAUUCAAGCCCAGCUUAAGGAUAUUUUUAUAAGAUGCAGUCAGUUCAGCAAAGACCACUUGGGAGCGGAGCAGAGAUUGCUGUUUAAAGAAUUGAGUUGAUAUAACAGCUCCAGUUUAUCCCCCGGUAAUUGAACUGGAGAUGCUGUCCUCUGCUUUUAGGAUUUAUUGAAGGAUGGUCUGCUUUGACAUCGUGGCCGUUUUGAAUAGUAUGGUUAAAUUCUUUCAGUUUCCAUAACCAACUCAACGCAGUCAUGUGGCAUGGACCACAGCCAGUGCCUUUGACCUCCUGCAUAUGUGACCAGUUGCCCACUGAUUAGGGGCUGACUUACAUAGAAUUUUAGUCUCAUUCCUGUAAGUUGCACAAUAAGCUUGACUAUGUGUGACCAUGUGUAAACAAGCGCAUAUAUGUGUCUGAUUUUAGCAAAGACAUCCUUGAACUUCAGUAUGCAACUUGAAGUCAGCCCUGGUUUUAAGUAUGGUGAGGUUAAACCCUCUUCUCCCUCUCUAGUCUGUUCCCCUUGAAAAUAACCUGUACAUGACCAUAUUACAUCAGCAUUUAGGAUUCCUGAAAUAAUGAAUAACAAUUGUAUCAGGUUGCCUGAGUGCAUUUCAUGCCAAAUUUGUGCAACAAUUGCAAGUGCAAAACCAAAUCUUUUCACCUAUCUAGUGAACUCUUAAAAAAAAAAAAAAAAAAAAAAAAAGCACCCCUCAAACCCUGAUCUCACAGAACUUUUAAGAACUCACUUAAUCCCACAUAUGUGAAUAAAAAAGAUAAAAAAGUUGGUUUGGGGAUAUUUGUAAGUGGACUUUAAGGGUUUGUUUAAAUGUUUUGCUGGAUGGAUCAUCAGGGAUCUGCAAGACAGUGCCCUUUCUCUGACAGUUCUCUCAAUGACAUUUUUAAAAGCAGCUCACAGCUCACUAAGAGUUUAUGCUGAGCCCCAUGCUGAAUGGAUACAAAUUUGUAGAGACUUUAGGUAGGGAAGACAUAUGGUGAGAGAGCACAGAAAUCUGAUAGUUUCCUGAGAAGUAAUAUUCCUCUAAAAUAUUGAAACAAAACUAUUUGAUGUGUGUAGGAUGAAUUUUAAAUAAAUAUGGUAGUCUGGCCAAUCCAGAGAUGUGGAUAUCCUUGAAUAACCUUUGACAGCACUCCCAACUGUUCUUUGAACAAGCAGAGAAGUAUGUCAGAGGCCUUAGUUUUCGUUCAUGUUGGGCCUCCUCCAAGAUACCACUUCUGGGCUUCUGAGUCAGUGAGGCCCCUGCUCACUGCAGGGUAUCUGAACAGCACAAUGCACUUGGGCCUCCAGAGCCACUCUCCUAGUGAGGAACUGCAUUUGUGGCAAUCAGGAUGGCAGAGUGAAAGACAAAAUUAAUUGCCUAAGAAAGUAAUCUGUAAGGCAAACCCUAGUUUAGGCUUUAAAAAUAAUUAUUUAUUUAGUAUUAUUUUUUACAGCCAAGGAAAAGGCAGAAAACAAUGCAAGUCUCCAAAGAGGUGGGCAUAGCAUAUGGCAAAUAUGCUCAGCCCUGAUGUAGGAAGCAGUUUUAGCUAGCUGAUAAAACUCCAGUAUGUUCAUGCCUAUCAGAACACUGACUUGACUGGGAGACAAUCAUAACAUGGACUUUUGUUGCUGGUUUUGUUUUGUUCUUCCUAUGUCCUUCAUCCAGUAGAAGGUGUCCAGGCCCUGAAGUCAACUGACAGGUCAAAUUCACAGGAACAAUCCAAGACAUUCCAAGAAAUGUUGUCGGAGGGUUAACUUACUUUUUACUCUGAAGGCAGACAGGCUGCAGUAAAAAACAACAACAACAACAACAACAAAAACAAAAA